rnacentral:rRNA from 1 species
AUUGAACGCUGGCGGAAUGCUUUACACAUGCAAGUCGAGCGGCAGCACGGGGGCAACCCUGGUGGCGAGCGGCGAACGGGUGAGUAAUACAUCGGAACAUGCCCAGUCGUGGGGGAUAACACUUCGAAAGAAGUGCUAAUACCGCAUACGUCCUGAGGGAGAAAGCGGGGGAUCUUCGGACCUCGCGCGAUUGGAGUGGCCGAUGUCAGAUUAGCUAGUUGGUGGGGUAAAGGCCUACCAAGGCAACGAUCUGUAGCUGGUCUGAGAGGAUGAUCGGCCACACUGGGACUGAGACACGGCCCAGACUCCUACGGGAGGCAGCAGUGGGGAAUUUUGGACAAUGGGGGCAACCCUGAUCCAGCCAUUCCGCGUGAGUGAAGAAGGCCUUCGGGUUGUAAAGCUCUUUCGGCAGGAACGAAAUCCUCUAGGUUAAUACCCUUGGGGGGAUGACGGUACCUGAAGAAUAAGCACCGGCUAACUACGUGCCAGCCGCCGCGGUAAAAC